CCCCAGCUCAAUGUUCGAGUGAGGUGCACAGUUUAAGUCCUCAUCGCCACAGCCUGUGGGUUUCAGAAGAAACAUGUGUGUGGAUAAAGAGAGCAGCACCAAACCCUGCAAGCCCAAAGAUCAUUCAAACUCUUGUUAGAAACAAUACCAGGUUGACUCCGACCCCAAAGAACGCAAGGGUAGCCAGUCCCUGAUUCACUGAAUCAAGAUUUCAUGGAUAUGGUCAGCAAAUUGCAUAAACAUCAUGCAUGCAGCAAAAGAAAUUGUGAGUGGGUAGGGUUCCAUCGUGAUCGCUGAAAUCUAGCCUGACCUAACCUCAUGAUCAAUUCAAGAUUUUUGGCCUGUGCCCAUGAUAAGAUUUCAUGAUAGAUAUGCACCACUCAACUUUGUCUUUUUUGUUCCUUAUCAAAUUUACAAGAAGAAAGUGCACUUUUAUAUUCACUCAGGAAUGUAAUCCUAUUCAGUUUUACAGGCAAAUGACUCUGUUGCAGACGGUGGCAAUGACAGUGACCCCAAAGUCCAAAGAUAUGAUGCUCCUACGUUUGCCAGGAUUUAAUGACUGAAAUUUGUAACUCGAUGAUAAAAUAGUUACCUAGCACAAGUGAUCCUGCCACCCAGCCUCCGGUCUUGCCCUUGGCUGCAGGCCUGCCUCUGAAGUCCACUGAUCCAUCAAGUGUGUAGUCAUACUGAUCAGCUUUGUAUCCACUUCUCGCCAUGCUAAAGGAAGAGCUUUUAGUCACCAUGUUGCCGUCUUCUACUCUCUCUUUCUCCUGCAGUGCCCAAUUCAACUUAGUGAGUUUAAUAAAACACCCAUGCUUCAGUUUUAUUGGCUCUUGGUGGAUUAUAGCCUUGAAGAACUACUGACCAUGGAAUUCUCAGAGUUGGCCAUUGUUCGAAAUGGGGGAUGCCAACAGAAACUCGGGGGAAGAAUUCAGGAGAGAGAUUUGAAUGAACAAAUGGUGCUGAGAGAGGUCGACGAGGUUUGAAUUUAUAGAAGUGAGGGAAAUGCAUCAAUGGCUGCGAUUAGAACUUGCAAAAAGGGUGGUGAUGUAAUACUACUUCCCCACAUGGCAGAAUCAAAGAAAUGAAAAAGCUGAAAUUGACAAGCAAAGGAGUUGGAAGGGAACACAAGGUUGUAGUUGAAUUUCGACUCAUUCAUUUGUCAUGUAGAAGACAUACUUCAAAGGGAAACUUAAAUACUGAUUUUGGUUUAAAUAGAAAAGUAGGCUUUUAUUGUUCGAGAAAGAGGCAGAGGUUUUAGCACCUUUCGUUAUCUUGCUAUUAUGCAAAUUGAUCGAUACUCUAUCCUAAUUAUUGUUAUCAGUGUAUAGAAACAGGACAGUAAGUUCCUUGAGAACAACUUUUUCUUCAA